CGGCGGACGGGUGAGUAACACGUGGAUAACCUACCUAUAAGACUGGGAUAACUUCGGGAAACCGGAGCUAAUACCGGAUAAUAUAUUGAACCGCAUGGUUCAAUAGUGAAAGACGGUUUUGCUGUCACUUAUAGAUGGAUCCGCGCCGAAUUAGCUAGUUGGUAAGGUAACGGCUUACCAAGGCAACGAUGCGUAGCCGACCUGAGAGGGUGAUCGGCCACACUGGAACUGAGACACGGUCCAG
rnacentral:rRNA from 1 species